CUUGGCAAAGCACAAAAAAUUUAAGAGAACUAACUAUAUUAAUAUACAUUGUAUAUAAGCUCUCUUGAUAUAAUCAGCAAUGUCUACACCUUGCAGUCAUCCCAUACAUGCAGCAAUUGAAGCCUGAAUGACAGCAGCGUAAACUAUCCUGCUCUUGGCUGUGCAAGCUCUCAUCUCAGCAACACUGCGCAAGAGCGUCCAGUCUGCUCCUGUAACAACCGUUUCACUAAAUGCUGUACACAGCACAUGCAGUGCAGUAUACUCUUUCAAGAAGUCACUGGACUGGCUAUAUGUACUGAACAUGAUGGAUAUUCUGUGAUUCCCACUGGGAUGCCUGACUCAUUUUAACAAAAUACUCACUGCUACCCUGAAGAACACACAAUCAUACACUGAAGGAAGAAAAAUGAUUUCUUCUGCCAAUUUUUAAGAAUACUUUCUUUGUAAGAGAAAAUUAUUUGCAAAUUCAAACUUAGCUGUAAAAAUGUAGCAGACAAUACACAAUUAAAAAAAUAACACGUACCACAGCAGAUAAAUAGUAAUUUAUUAAAAUUCACCUCAAAACAAAAAAAAAAGUAAAGGACAUUAAGGCAUCUUGUAUUCAGUUACCAUUCAUAUAGUAAAGAUGACUUUUCUUUCCAAUUCCAGACCAGUAAAAGAAAAAAGAAGAGAAAAGAAAAGGUCUUCCCAACACAUUUGGCGGAGUGCUGACUUCUUCCCACUGUUCCACCAUUCAGCCAACAAAUCCCUCCCAGAAACCCCCAUUUCUUCAGGGUUUUUUCUAUUCAAAAAGAACAUCAGGAAAUGUUUACAGUAUCAUCGGUUCACUAUAACAGGAUUUUACUACAGAGUAAAAUAUAAGAUAAUUAACACUGCAUAUAUCACUAUUCAUUUCACCACAUUGGCUCUCUAUAUCCUUUGUCACAUUUUAACCUUCAUUUAAGGCAAGUUUUGUUGUCAAAGAUCACAAAGUCUUUAGAUAAACUUGUGUGACUAGGUUUAUGAGUUAGGAAAUUGAGCUUUAUAAAACGUUUACUUCAACAAGUAAGAAAAUUAUUAAGAGAAAGAUGGUGACCCAAAAUUGCACUGUAUUAAAAGGUGGAGUUUCCUUGUACCAAAGUCCUUUAUUCAUCAUCUUUAGAACCAGUUUUGCUUAACUAUAAAAGAGACACAAAAAGAAAGUGUUCAAAGUUUAGACUGCUAUUCCAUUUAUUAGGAAACAAGAACAACAUUAUUUCCAUCUUACAUAGAAUACAGGUAUAUUUAGUUAAUAAUACAGACUGUGCUACUGUACCAAGAGAUGCAAAUGACUCAAAAAUAUUUAAGCUUAUAUACUAAAUUAGCUUAUUUCUUGAACCUAAAACUCCAUCUUCCCUUUUCAUGAACUACUUUCAAAAAUAUAAAUUGAAAGGUUAUGCCUAUUAAAAAGAAGAGGAAAAACAACAACAACAACAAAAAAAAACACCUUAGGGCACCUUCUAGUUAAACUGAAGACUCUGUCCCUAGCUCUCCAAAAGAAAACAGAUGCAAUAACUGAAAAAAGUUAUUUCCACACAUCUCAAACAGUUCCCACAUACAGAUGUGCACAAAAUGUAAAAACAGACAUUAAAUUAUUUUUCUCCUUUCUUAAAAGCUAAGUCUGUAAUUAUUAGAAGUAGUGCAUCUAUCAGGAAAUUUCUCUGGAGUCCACAAAAUCCACUACAAAUAGUCACUUAAUUCUCUGCUCAUAACCACCACUUGCUCACUGUUAUUUAACAACUAGAAAUGGUGUUAGGUCUUACACUUAGAAUUAAUUAUGGUUGCAUAAAAUAAAAUAGUUUGCCAUAAAAUUUGUCA
ensembl:lncRNA